AGAGUUUGAUCAUGGCUCAGAUUGAACGCUGGCGGCAGGCCUAACACAUGCAAGUCGAGCGGUAACAUUUCUAGCUUGCUAGAAGAUGACGAGCGGCGGACGGGUGAGUAAUGCUUGGGAACAUGCCUUGAGGUGGGGGACAACCAUUGGAAACGAUGGCUAAUACCGCAUAAUGUCUACGGACCAAAGGGGGCUUCGGCUCUCGCCUUUAGAUUGGCCCAAGUGGGAUUAGCUAGUUGGUGAGGUAAAGGCUCACCAAGGCGACGAUCCCUAGCUGGUUUGAGAGGAUGAUCAGCCACACUGGAACUGAGACACGGUCCAGACUCCUACGGGAGGCAGCAGUGGGGAAUAUUGCACAAUGGGCGCAAGCCUGAUGCAGCCAUGCCGCGUGUGUGAAGAAGGCCUUCGGGUUGUAAAGCACUUUCAGUCAGGAGGAAAGGUUAGUAGUUAAUACCUGCUAGCUGUGACGUUACUGACAGAAGAAGCACCGGCUAACUCCGUGCCAGCAGCCGCGGUAAUACGGAGGGUGCGAGCGUUAAUCGGAAUUACUGGGCGUAAAGCGUACGCAGGCGGUUUGUUAAGCGAGAUGUGAAAGCCCCGGGCUUAACCUGGGAACUGCAUUUCGAACUGGCAAACUAGAGUGUGAUAGAGGGUGGUAGAAUUUCAGGUGUAGCGGUGAAAUGCGUAGAGAUCUGAAGGAAUACCGAUGGCGAANGCAGCCACCUGGGUCAGCACUGACGCUCAUGUACGAAAGCGUGGGGAGCAAACAGGANUAGAUACCCUG
rnacentral:rRNA from 1 species